rnacentral:lncRNA from 1 species
UGCCCAUAUGCUCAUCCGGGCGAGAAGGCCCGCCGCCGCGACCCGAGGAAGUACCACUACUCGGGUUCGGCCUGCCCCGACUUCCGCAAGGGCAGCUGCGCCAAAGGCGACUCCUGCGAGUUUGCUCAUGGUGUUUUUGAGUGCUGGCUGCACCCGGCGCGUUACCGGACCCAGCCAUGCAAGGACGGGCUGGCCUGUCACCGCCGCGUCUGCUUCUUCGCCCACACGCCGGAACAGCUCCGGGUGCUGCCAGGUCACAGCCCCAGGGCUCAUGGACCGGGUUUUUUCGAUUCGGCCACGUCGCCUCCGAUUUCUCCGCCGUCGGACUCGCCGCCAAUGUCGCCGAACAGCCCGCAACUCCGCCUCAGCACUGUGAAUG